rnacentral:lncRNA from 1 species
AAACGGAGCAAAGAGAGAGGAGGGUUCAAAUGUCUCUCGCAGUCCACAGUUCCACAACUUCGGAGUCAGGCUCUGUCUCCAGCAGCAGCCGAAGGACCCAAGCGGCAGCUAUUAACAUGCGGCAGUCAUAGCUGGGGCUGCUUCUCCUGCUGCUGCUGCUGCUGCUGCCGCCGCUUAAGGCAAGACGCUGCUGAAGAGACCAAAAAUCUUCCACCAUCCAUCCCCCCAGCCGAUCUUUAUAUCCAGUUCUCCCACCCCACCCCCUUCUCUUUCUUUUUCUUCUUCUCCGUCCUCCCCUUUCCGCCUGGGAGCGGGAGCGAUGGAAUAGGUAGGGGGAGCCGCGAGGGCCAGGAGUGGCUUCUUCUCCACCAAACCCUCCUCCUUCUCCGCCCGAGCUUCUCUCCCCGCCGAGGCUCUCCUCUCGCGCCCGCAACCUGCGCCGGGAGCCGGAGCGAGGGCCACGCAAACUCCUUCCCCAGUGCACAGCGGGGGCGCGCGGGGGGCGCGGGCGCCGGGCCGCGGAGGGCUGCGUCCCGGGGGCCGCGGAGCCCCGAGCCCGGGGGGUGGCUGCCUAGCUCGCCGGCCGGGCCGGGUAGCUGCGGGCAUGUGGGAGCUUCAUCGCGCGGCCCCGGGCUCCGCGCCGCCGCCGCCUCUUCGGUUCUUUCUCUUCUUCGACUCCCCGAGAGCGAGCAAGGCUCUGGUGCUCUCCAGACACGCACACACACACGCGCACACACGAGCGAGCUCCUGCCAAAGCAAACCGUGCAACCCGCGCGCGCGCACACCGGAGAAAAAGGACGGAGGCAAAAAGAGAAGAAAGAAAGGGGAGGGGGCGAGUCACAGGCGGCAGCAGCAGCAGCUGCCGGCGCGGAGGCAACGAGCAGUCCGGGAAAAGCCGGCAGAGGCAGCGGCGGCGCCCACCCGCACCCGCGGCAGCAUCUGCAUCCCCGCUCCUGGGAACUGGGGCGAGCGGUGCCGGGCGAGCAGGCGACCGGGCGCCGUGCCGAGAGCCGAUGGGAGCGCGGGUGCGCCGGGGCCGGCAGCCUGCGCAGCGGACGCAGCCGGGGCCCGAGCCGAGGCCAGAAUGAACCGCGGGCGGGCGGGCGAGCGCGGAGAGCCGGGGAGGGGGCUCGCGCCGGGGGAAGGGGGUGGCCGGUAAAACCCGGAUCUGGAGUACGUGCGGGCUCCGCGCGCGGGCUCCACCUAGCAGCUCGGCAAACGCUUGGAGGUGGGAACGAGAAGGCUGCUACAAGAGGCUUCCCUUUCAGGGUUUCUCAAACAAAGGGUGCCUCUCCUUGCGGCUUUGAGGCACGCAUCUCUCCCCAUCUCUCUCUCCCUGUCCCUCUCGCUCUCUUUCUCUCUCUCUCCCUCUCUCUCUCUCCCUCCUCCUCCCCCCUUCCCCUUUCUCCCUCACCCCUCUUCUCCUCCUCCUCCACUGCACCCCAGGUGAGUAAACGACGUCAGAUGGAAAGUCCUGCCUGCGUCUCUGUUUUUAGGUGCAGAUUAUUCCAUAUUUUCAUCAUGCAGGUACCGACCCCGGUGCGUUUUCUGCCUUUGGUGCAUUUUAGAUUCCUUCAAACUUACCUCAACUUGCAAGUUCAUUGCAGGCUUUAA